AGCGAACGCUGGCGGCAGGCCUAACACAUGCAAGUCGAACGGAUCCUUCGGGAUUAGUGGCGGACGGGUGAGUAACACGUGGGAACGUGCCCUUUGGUUCGGAACAACUCAGGGAAACUUGAGCUAAUACCGGAUGUGCCCUUCGGGGGAAAGAUUUAUCGCCAUUGGAGCGGCCCGCGUCGGAUUAGCUAGUUGGUGGGGUAAAGGCCCAACAAGGCGACGAUCCGUAGCUGGUCUGAGAGGAUGAUCAGCCACAUUGGGACUGAGACACGGCCCAAACUCCUACGGGAGGCAGCAGUGGGGAAUCUUGCGCAAUGGGCGAAAGCCUGACGCAGCCAUGCCGCGUGAAUGAUGAAGGUCUUAGGAUUGUAAAAUUCUUUCACCGGGGACGAUAAUGACGGUACCCGGAGAAGAAGCCCCGGCUAACUUCGUGCCAGCCGCCGCGGUAA
rnacentral:rRNA from 1 species